CCAAGGGUGCACUCAAUCCCACCAUUGGUGUCAUUGAUGAAGAUGUUAAAGAGCACCGGUCCAAGUAAUGACCCUUGUGGGAUACCACUUGUCACCAAUCUCCGUCUGGACAUUGAGCCAUUGGCCACCACUCUCUGGUUACGAUCUCAUGACCAGUUUCUCAUCCAUCAAAGAGUUUACACAUCAAAUCCAUAUAUUUCCAAUUAGGAGAGAAGGAUGUUGUGUGUGACCAUGUCAAAGACCCUACCGAAUCCAGGGAAAGCAGAGCAGAACAGCGUGAGAUGAAAUGUGGGAGCUGGUCCAGAAUGAUGCAAUGAAGAACGCGUCUUCAGCUGCAAAUUUGGAAGUAGCCAAGACAUGCAAACCACCUCUCUCCUUCAAGCUGGAAUGAAAAUGGAACUGAAAAUAUCAUUUCUGAGAGGCAUGAGCAAUAGUCUCAGGACCUGCUGUAAAAAGGGAAGUUGUUUAAAUAUACAAAGUUUGCAUUAGGAGCUGUUGGAAGGCAGACGAGCAGAAAUUACUUGCUGAUCAUGUCAUGCAUUUUUAGAGGUUCUCCUCAUUUAUCCCCAUUACAUACGCGCUCACUGAUUCUUUCAGUUGGAAGAGCUGCUUAGCCCACAGAGAUCCACGUUUCACCAUGCAUGCAUUGUAAAACCGCUAUAGGAAGAGCAUUUAGUGAAGAGUUAAUGGCUUCCUUAGAAGGAUAAUACAGUUAACAGUGGAGAGGAUGUACAGCUAAAUAUGGCCCUUAUAAAACUUAGCAGAUUCCAUUAAAAAACAGACGUGCAGGAAGUGUCAAGUUCCUAUUAGAGCUGAUUGUACACAGUUGCAUGGGAAGAAAUAAAUUUAGUGUACAGAAUUUUACAUCACAUCCUUUGAAAGCAGUGAAAUUCUCUGGGGUCCACAACUCUGUGCAUCUGGUCCACAUGCACAUAACAUACACACACAAACAAUUAACUGGUGUGCGAGGACUUUAAAGGAGAAUGCACAUCUAAAAGUCAGCGCCCACAUAUGCUGAAGUGAAUGGCAAUGUUGUGACUGGCUGCAACGGUCCCAGAUUGGAUUGCACUCAAAUCCAUGAGAGGUCCUCCUCCUCCUGAUAUUGCACUCUCCUGGGGGAGCUCCAUGUGUAUAUGAAGGAGGGAGAAACUCAUUUCUGUGCUUUGUGUGUUGGAAAAGCCAUCCCAUUCUUUUCUUUGGGUUAACUCUUAUUUCAGAAAUAAGACAAGAGCUAGUUAAAGAGUUCAUUAUUCAGUAGAUUAUUUACUAUGAGCAGAAAAUCGGAUUUGCUCUUACCCAAGUUAACUGAUUUUACGGGAUUCUACGUGUUUAUUUUGGGGAUAUUUUCAGGAAAAAUAUCUGGAGCCAGGAUCACCUAGCAUUAAAUGGUGGCUGUUCACAGGAGCCUGAAAAACCUUUCUCAGCUGUGUUUGAAAUGACCUUUUUAUUCAUUUGUGAGGACAUCAAGGAAUCAGUUUGCCUCUAUCCUCAGUCCUGCCGCCAGCAGGUAUUGCCAAGGAAAUGACCCAGACAACAUCAAGACAAAUCUAUGCUGAAGUGCAAGGUAAAAAUGCCUACCAGCAUAAAGAGCUGGACUCUGAGUAUGUUUCUGGACUCAAACCCAAGGCUUUUGUUCCCAGAAGAUUCACUUCCCAUCAGUACAUAGUGAAGCUUCAAGCCUGUGCAGUGAGGCUGUCUCAGCUGGGCUCAAGGCCUGAGGAGGAGCCUCAGGCUCCAGGCCUCUUUCUGAUGGGAGAUUCGGCUGUUCGGCAGUCCCCAGUGGGGACGAGAGUCAUGCCUGGCUUCUCACAAGGCCCUGUGGCCUCUGAGAACUGAGACAGCAAAAAUAUAAUGUUCAAAACCAAGUAUCCUUGAAAGCUGUUGGGUUGUAGCACCCUAGAAGAAUCCCCACCCUCGGGUGCCCAGUCCGUAAUGAGAAAGGCUAAAAACGCAGAUUGACAGAUCAAAGCAGCAGCCACCAUACCAUGGACAAGUACUUUGACAGGUGGGUAAUGAGGUAUCUCCUGUAGUGACAUAUUAACGUAUGCUAGGAAGCAAAUUAAACCAGGGUGCCCGGUCCAUCUGGAUUCGCAGCACCAGUAAGAAAGAGCAAAGUGAAGAGAAUCACCAUGGCAAAGAAAAGGGUAUGGAAGAUGAAGAGGACAUUUCUGAUACAGAAUCUGGGUUUUAUGUUGUGUUUUUUCUUGCUACAGAUGGCUUUGUGUGGAAUAUGGCGGCUGUCCUGCUGUGUUGGAAGAACUACGUUCAAUUUAAAUGUCUGGAUUUCCAGUCGAAAGGUUUUGUAGGAAAUAAGUAAGCAGUUUAGUGCAAGAAAUAAGCAGAAAACUCUCCGCUGUGCACAGUAUUUACAAAUCAUUUUUCGGUCGUUUGAUAUUUAAUUGAAUUUUUAUUCUUGCAUCAAGAAUAUGGAGACCAGAAGUCAAAUUAAAUGACUGAUGCCGGCCGGUAUGCACUGCUGGGGCAGAACAACUUUUUUUCUCUGAUGAAAGGUACCUAUUUCAGCUACUUUGGCAGCUCCAAAGUUCAUCUGUCAGCAUGCAGGGCUGUUUCCAUUGGCAUCUGCCGGCUUUGGAUAAGGCUUGCACAGCAAAUCCCCUAUCCACAGCAGGGCAAGGGCAGGCAGGCCUUUACAGUGAGGUUACUUCUCAACUCUAGGAGCAUGCUAUGUAAUGAGAAUUCAAAGCAGCAGCAGAACAUUAUUGAACAGCACGCCUAACACACUGCUAUUACUUACCAUCUGGUAAAAAUUAAAUUUCAUUAAUAAAUAUUAUUAUUUACUGUGGAUUUCAGGAGCCUGUGGGAGCCACAGGAAAAUCUAUCCGAGCAGCAGCAAGUUCUCUGAUGGUCUUCAUAAUGGCCUCUUUACAAAGUCUAAAUAAUUUUCCUGUUCAGUACUAUCCAAGCAACAAAAAUGUUCAGAGCAGGAAUAUAUAUUUCAUUCUGUACAGUGUUUCUUAGAGAAUUCAUCAGCUGAAUUUAUCUGGUGAGCACAGAACAUCAUCAUAUUAAAAGGAUGACCCCCUCCGCUACACCAGCUAACCCAUGUUGCUUUGUGUGACAUCAGUGGAUUAGAAAUGUUGCUUUUAUCCACUAACAACAGCAUCAAGCUUCUAAUGGGCAGUUUUGUUGUCACAAGCAGCACUGGUAAUUCCCUUCUUAUAAGCCCAAACAAAAGGAGUGGAGUCCCCAGCAUGUCUUGUCACAUCCUUUUUCCGACUGUGCCAAAGUGCUUGAGCUAACAGCCACCUACGUGUGACUCUAGCAUAGUUUAUCCUGAGCUGGAGGGAUACAUUUACGUCUGUACAUAUAUAUGAAUAUAGGCAUGUUGUAAAGGUGUUGCUUGGAAACUAUUCACAGCAACAGGAUGGGCACGGAUCUGCUUCUAUGGAGUCUGACUUGUAUUACCCAGUGGGGUAACUCCGGCUGCUGCACAACAGGACAAGUGUCUGUGUGGUUCCUGUAAGGGUGUCACCAUCCAGCCCUCCUUCCCUAACCAGGAAACCACCCGCAGUGCUGUUAGCAAAGAAAAGUAUGAUCACAUCCAAAAAAAAACCCACUUGUCAUUCACCCUAUUUGCCCAAGAUGACAAUGAGGGCUCAGGAGUUUCUUGUCUCUUCCAUCUGUGUUUCUGGUGAAAAUCAGCCUCCUGGUCCAGUGGCAGGGAGCAGCUGCCCAAGUGCUUGGCGGUGCUGCUGCCCUCUGUAGUCCCUGAUUAGAGCUUGAACCUGAGAGGAUUCCUUGUUGUCAUCAGAGAGAUUGAUCAUCAGCUCCGUUCUGCAAUGUCACAUCACAUCAGGUUCUCAGACACAAUGAGACCAGUGGCCACAACUGUCUCUGAAGUCUUCUGAAGCAGAGUGAUUGUCUCAGCAGUUUUUUCCCCUCUCAGGGUCUGGAGUUUAGACAUAGGAUCAUAAGGGUUGGAAAAGGGCUGUUUUGCUAAGAACAAUCUUAUUAAAGCCAGGUCUUGGCUAUGCCUUGGACACCCACAGUUGGCCAGGAAGUGCUAGGUGGUGUCCUGCCCUGAAAGGUCACAAGAAGGGCUCAUAAACUGUGCCCAUGACCAGCUAGGAACCAGCCACAGGGGAGAGGGAAGAUAUUGACCAGAGCAGUUGUUACUGAGGCAAUAUAAAGCAAACUGCCCACCUGAGCACACCUGUGAAGUGAACUGAGGAGGAGAAGGAGGUCCUGCACCCAUCAACACAUCAGGAGGAAGAUAGUGGGCAAAAGAUGUGGAGGGUACAGCCCAGACUAAUUGCUGGUGGCAUCCACCCAUAAUGCGGGUCAACCCUAGCCCUGAUUUUCUCAAAACAGGCUUAAUAAUGAUUAACUUCAGGCUGGAUGAGGAGAAAAUAAAUGUUAACUAACAACCUUGAUUUCCUAGUGCACACAACACCAGCUUUUUUUUUAUGUUGGCUCCUCUCGCCUUUUUCUAUUUGCCUGGGAAACACCGACCCCAUGCAUUGCCCCCUUUCUUCAGCUUUAUACUGAGGGAAUGACGGGAAAUCAGGAGUGAUGAAUCAGUGAUGCAAAGCAAAGCUUACAACCCGCAAGCAUCAGUGGGUAUGCAGCCACGCUGAUGGAGCUGCAGAUCCUUUUCUUCCUCUUACCUUAUGAAUUAAUUUGCCAUCAUGUCAGUCCAAUUGUAACUAAACUGGCUUCUUUUCUUCCGUUUUUUAUGAUGCACUCUGCAGUGCUACGCUUAGCCUGAAGGUUUCAAAUGGCAUGUAAAUGGAUAUUGCCCUGCAAGCUGCAUUCUGCCAUACAAUCACAACCGUCUCCUAAGUCUUAAAAGCCAGAGCAUGAUGUGAAUUACAGGCUUUUCUUCUCCAUGUGGGGCUCAUAGCUUAUAGUCCUAAAUUACAUUUUGUCAGCUUGUUAACAAAGCAAGAUAGAAGACCAUUAAAAAUAAGCUGCCGUUAUGUAAGUGUUCACGAGUGUCUAAAUAUUAAUGUCAGGGCUCCGUAUUAUGGAAGUGCUCUAAAUAAUCCCUUUUAGCCUUUGUAGUUUAAUCUUUAUUCAUAUUUCAUCCAUUAGUUACCUUUAAAUAGCAUGGUUCUUUUGAUAACUAAGAGGCUGUGAAUAACACUCGCUGAAAUUACAAUAUCCCUGUCUUUCAGUGCCACAGUCAAAAAUGACUGUAUUGCUGGGGCCGUGUUGUCUUUGGUAUUUCAAUUGCAAAUGAACUGUGCAACCUGCAGCAGUUUAAACAAAAAAAAAAUGCAAACAUCCUGGUGCCCACCUCCUUCCUCCAUCCACCAUCUGCAGCAGUACCGAAAUCUCAGCCCACUGCCAUUGUCAGCGCUUAACUCACACCACUACAACACCCCAUGUUAUUUACUGGUUUCCAAAACUUACCACCAAAAUGCUACCUUGAUGAUGCCAAGGUGAUGAGAUAAAAUGAUAAAAAGCAGGAAUUAAAAGCUUCCACGCUGUGCCUCACUAGCUGCCGCUGUCCACAACCGAUCUAUUGUGUCGGGGAAUUGCAGGGGUUGGCUGGAGGCCACAGCAAUGUGCUCUGUGUUUGCUGUAAUAUCCAGAGGCGGGAGAGGAGACAUUCAUUUAUUUUAUUUGCUCUCAGUAUGGUACGAUCCCUGCCCUACCAGGGCUUUCAUCUAGAAAGCACACAAGCAAUAGCGGA
ensembl:lncRNA